GAAGGACAGAGGAACUUCCUCUUCCGGCUCAGCCACGGGCGGAUAGUGGCGUCGGCGGAGCUUCUUGUGCUGCUUGAAGGGGUCGAAGCGGCUCCUGGGAGGUUCUGCAGCCAUUUUUUUAAAACCACAAUAAAACUAAUUCAUUAAUAUGAAUCUUGUAGACAGAGGAUGCCAAGAAGAGCACUCUGGAUUCAAGACGGGCUUGAAUCAAAGCCCCACCAGUUAGAGAUUAGAAA